rnacentral:tRNA from 1 species
GGAGAAGUCGCGUAGCCCGGUCGAGCGCGCACGAUUGGAAAUCGUGUAACGGCAAAAAACCGUUCGAGGGUUCGAAUCCCUCCUUCUCCGCCA